rnacentral:rRNA from 1 species
GAACUGAAGAGUUUGAUCAUGGCUCAGAUUGAACGCUGGCGGCAGGCCUAACACAUGCAAGUCGAGCGGAUGAAGAGAGCUUGCUCUCUGAUUCAGCGGCGGACGGGUGAGUAAUGCCUAGGAAUCUGCCUAUUAGUGGGGGACAACGUUUCGAAAGGAACGCUAAUACCGCAUACGUCCUACGGGAGAAAGCAGGGGACCUUCGGGCCUUGCGCUAAUAGAUGAGCCUAGGUCGGAUUAGCUAGUUGGUGAGGUAAAGGCUCACCAAGGCGACGAUCCGUAACUGGUCUGAG